AUAAAGCCAGGGUUCCGAGGCAAGUCUGAGGUCAUCAGCCAAGGGUGUCUGCAUCGGACAACACUCAACUCGGGAUUGGCACCCAGCCAGUGCCCUACACUAUACAAGAUGCCACUGUAGGGACAGGGAUGACCUCUAGCAAGGUGACCCUCAGUGGGCCAGAGGGGGCUUCUGAAGAGAAUUUCUCUAGCUUCUUGGUGUUUCCUGCCUGCUACUUUCAAACAAGGGUCCCAUUUUUAAUGUUUUCCCAGUAAUACCUUAUGAAUGUUAUUGCAAAGCCCGGGUCUGCACUCUACUGGGAUUUGCUGGGCUAGAUUCUCAGAGGAGCUCAACAUUGAUUGAGUUCCUCGCUCCACGUUAAAUCUUUGGAAAAUUAACUAAAGAUCUCCUAGUAAGAUGCUUGUAACUUACUACAUAAGGUGAAAUAGUGACUUUACAGUACAAAAACUAUAACCCAAGUAUUACCACCAGCAGCGGGCUAAAUCAACACCACAGGCCCCGUGAUCAAUAUAUGUGAUGAGGACAUUACAUCCUGGUGUUGUUGCCCCAAGUCUUGACGUGAAUCUGACCACAAGGACAAUUCGGACAACCUGAAAUGGUGACGCAUUCUACAAAAUAAACAUCAAUGUCAUGAAAGACAAAGACUCAAGAUUUUCUGCUUAAUGGAGACUAAAGAGAUGCGACAACAGAAUGCCAGGCAUGAUCUUGGAUAUUCUUUUGGCUCAAACAGUCUUAGGACAAUUGAAAAAACGUGAAUGAGGUCUGUAGCUAAUAGAAUUGUGUCAAUGCCACAUCCUUGGUUUUGUUAAUUGCAUUGUGGUUACAGAAGAGAAUCCCUUUGUUUUCAGGAAAUGCACACAGCAGUAUUUAAUAGUAAAGGCACAUCUUGUCUGCAACUUC
ensembl:lncRNA LINC02189 long intergenic non-protein coding RNA 2189